GACGAACGCUGGCGGUGUGCUUAACACAUGCAAGUCGAACGGAAAGGCCCUGCUUUUGUGGGGUGCUCGAGUGGCGAACGGGUGAGUAACACGUGAGUAACCUGCCCUUGACUUUGGGAUAACUUCAGGAAACUGGGGCUAAUACCGGAUAGGAGCUCCUGCCGCAUGGUGGGGGUUGGAAAGUUUCGGCGGUUGGGGAUGGACUCGCGGCUUAUCAGCUUGUUGGUGGGGUAGUGGCUUACCAAGGCUUUGACGGGUAGCCGGCCUGAGAGGGUGACCGGCCACAUUGGGACUGAGAUACGGCCCAGACUCCUACGGGAGGCAGCAGUGGGGAAUAUUGCACAAUGGGCGGAAGCCUGAUGCAGCAACGCCGCGUGCGGGAUGACGGCCUUCGGGUUGUAAACCGCUUUCGCCUGUGACGAAGCGUGAGUGACGGUAAUGGGUAAAGAAGCACCGGCUAACUACGUG
rnacentral:rRNA from 1 species